rnacentral:rRNA from 1 species
ACGUAGGGUGCAAGCGUUAUCCGGAAUCAUUGGGUUUAAAGGGUCCGUAGGCGGCUUAAUAAGUCAGUGGUGAAAGCCCUACGCUUAACGUAGGAACGGCCAUUGAUACUGUUAGGCUUGAAUUAUUAGGAAGUAACUAGAAUAUGUAGUGUAGCGGUGAAAUGCUUAGAGAUUACAUGGGAUACCAAUUGCGAAGGCAGGUUACUACUAAUGGAUUGACGCUGAUGGACGAAAGCGUGGGUAGCGAACAGGAUUAGAUACCCUGGUAGUCCACGCCGUAAACGAUGGAUACUAGCUGUUGGAAGCAAUUUCAGUGGCUAAGCGAAAGUGAUAAGUAUCCCACCUGGGGAGUACGUUCGCAAGAAU